rnacentral:lncRNA from 1 species
CUGAAUAUAGUUAAAUUCACCUAUUAUCAACACCCCACACUUAAACCUUUGCUCGUCCUCGAGUAAGCUAAACCACACUUCUGGGCCUAACCAUUUGAUGCAUUCCCCAAGUAUGCCACACACGCCAUUUUGACGAAACAACCUAAGCAAUGCUACAGUCAUACCCCAGAUGCAUACUCUACUGCCAUGACAACCCGCGCUCACUCUAGUUACUCUAAUAGAGGUGAAGACUUACUUUUCUUUCCUGAAUCACAUGCCUCACAUCAAAAGUCUUAGAGAGGUUCCACACACAUAAAAUUCAAGCAACACGGAAGAUAGAAAGAAUUCACUCACUCUCCGCAAAGAACAUUCACAUGCCACACAGAUACACCAUAAGCUUGCCCCUAGUGUAGUACUCGACUAAUCGAACUGUUUUAAUCAAAGUUCUAGAGAUAUUUAUUUGGUUGUAAUGUAGGCUAAGGGACGUGUAUGAUACAUUUGGAUGUAGUAACUAACCUCCCUAAGCACUUUUAAUACACACUUCCUUUUAUCUCAAUUUACCUGCUCAGUCUAAUCAUUCCUCCAUAUUUUUGUUUCACAGGUAACCCCUACUUUCCUUUAGGUGCAACUGGCUUCUUGUUUUCUCUUCUUCUUUUUUCUUUAUUUUGUUUUGUUUUCUUUGCCCCGUUUUUUUUCCUUUUAUAAUUCCAGUGCACCAUUCAAAUGAUUCCUUCCUGAUUCCCCUUUUUCGCUAAUUCCCUACGACCCCACACUUUGUCUUUUGUAUGUUGUUCAGUGAUUCAAGUGCUUCUAGGAGGUACAGGUUUAAGCAAUCAGCUAUUCAAACACAAGGAUAUAUGUCAUAAUAGGGUUAUCAAAGAACAGGCUUCAGGCUUAAAGGGGUUGACUAUGGCAAUAUAGACAUGUGGAUUCACAAUUAUAUAUAUAGGCUUACACAAAGAAAUGCCUCAAUCAUCUCUAAAACCAAAAAAUCCACAAUUAUAGAUUCCUUUUAUACUUAUAUAUAUAUAUAUGUAUGUAUAGGCUUACACAAAGAAAUGCCUCAAUCAUCUCUAAAACCAAACAUCUUCUAUUUCGCUUUGCAAACACACAAGGCAAGUUCUAGGUAUCACAUGCAAGGAUAGAAUGCAAGUAAAAUCUCACACACACUUAGCAUGUAACUCGUUCUGAAUCAGUUUAUCAACACACUUAUACGAGUGUUCAAGCAAGGCAAGAUGUGCAAAAUUAAGGCGUAGAUUUACAAGUCUACAACUGAGCCUAGACGUCACACUCUCAAGUUCAUUUUAGUUGUUUGCAGGUGUGUACAUCAAGGGUAGCAUUCUAGCCUUUACCCAUCUUAGUCCUACAACUACAAAAGAAAAUUCUACCUAAUCUGGUUCAAGAAAAACCCUUGGAAAAGAACCGUGGUCAAAGGAAAAACCAAGGGGUACUUAAUACACUACCUAAAAAGGAAAACUAUAAAUAAAAAGAUCUACAUGGGCUACUUCUCUCAAGAGUACUAUCCAAGUGGUCCGUCCUCAGGAAGAGUCCUCUACCUUUAUUUUUGUUUUCAUUUUUGUAUUUUUUUUAUGUAUCCGACUUGGACCCUCAAGAGACUCAUCGACAAGUGUUCGUCGUUGGGCAAAGCCAGGUACUCCUAAUAUAUCU